GACCAACAUCAAUGUCCCAAUCAGCUUGAGCCUUCAUCAUCAUAGCAAACUCCCGUUUCAUACCAGUCCUAAUGGACGAAACAACAAUCUCCCCAUUCUCUGAACCGUUUGCCAUUACAAAAAGAACAAUUCAAACACACAUCAAUCAAUAGAUGCCACAAAAAUUAACAACAAAGGCCCAGCAGAUUCAAAAAAACUACAAAAAAAACUAAAAUCUCAUUCUUCUGAUGAUUCUCAAUCAAUUAACGGAUCCAAUCAACCACCAAACACAAGCAGAU
rnacentral:misc_RNA from 1 species